rnacentral:rRNA from 1 species
UCGCCUGUUUAUCAAAAACAUCUCCUCUUGUUUAAGUUUUGAGGUAGGGCCUGCCCGCUGAGUUUUACUUGAAGGGCCGCGGUAUACUGACCGUGCAAAGGUAGCAUAGUCAUUAGUCUUUUAAUUGUAGGCUGGUAUGAAUGGUUUGACGAGAUGCAAUCUGUCUUGGGUUGAAUUAUUUAUUGAACUUGGGUUUUAGGUAAAAAUACCUAAAUUUUUUUAUGGGACGAGAAGACCCUAUAGAGUUUUAUUUGAUCUUGACUUAUUUUGUUAGUUUUGUUUUAUAGUUGGGUUUUAAUUUUGCUGGGGCGGUAUGAAGAUUUAUUUAACUCUUCUUUUUAUUUGUAUAUAGAUUAAUAUUUUGUUGAUCCUUUAUUAUUGAUUUUAAGACUAAAUUACCUUAGGGAUAACAGCGUAAUCUAUCUUGAGAGUUCUUAUUGACAGAUGGGUUUGCGACCUCGAUGUUGGAUUAGGAUAAAUUUUUGGUGUAGCAGCUAUAGUAAUUAGGUCUGUUCGACCUUUAAAAUCUUACAUGAUCUGAGUUCAAACCGGAGA